rnacentral:pre_miRNA from 1 species
UCUUACGGAUGAGUAAAGAAAGUGGCUUCUUCAGACAGAAUCCACUCCCAGUGAAGAUGCUGUGAA